GGAGGCUCAGCCCAGCCCAGGCGCUGCGGGGAGCCGCUCCGUUCCCUGCUCAGUCGGGACCGGGAAGGGCUCGGGGUCGGAUGGGAGCCGUGGAGAGGAUCGUCCUGGGUUGGAUCUAAGCUCCAGGAGAUGGCUCAGCAGAUCAAGCGUUUGGCAAAGAUGAUGAGGCUGCGCUUGGAGGUGUCAGAGUCCCUGAGUUUGCAUUUCUGGGCAGGUGGAGAAAAACACGGCACAGAAAACCUCCAAGCCAUUGAAAAACAGAACUUUUUCCCCCCGCUUUGGUUUGAAUGUGUGUUUUUAAAGCAAAACAAGCCCUCUCCCCCUUGGCCUCCCUCCCUUGCACACUUUGUUAUCCGGAACAUGAUGUCUUUCCCUGCCAAUCCUGUGAUCGGAUCUCUUUACAACGCUGCCAGAAAGUGACUCCGACUUUCUCAGAAGUUUUCUCUUUGUGUUUGUUUCUCAGGACUUGAAAAAAGGCACAUUCUUCUCAACUCCCCCCAGAAGUUUUUCUUUUCUUUCUGGUAAUGUUGAUCUUAUCUCUCUUACUCCCCCCUACCACACCCACUUCCAAUUUAGUAAAUUUCAGCACUCUUUUUCUGAUUUUGUCAUCCUCCUUCCUGUUGCGGUUUUUCAGAAAAAGAAAUCAACCUCUUCUUGCUGGCUGUUUUCUCAGCAAAGUUCUUGUGUCAGCCUUUCGCCAGAGCUGAGCUUUCCAAAUAAAGACCCACGGAUGGAUUUCUGACCCCACAGUAAUAAUAAUAAUAACAACAAAAACCAGUGCAAGAAAGCCACACUACAAACUAGAGCUGACAGCGGGCAUUUGGAAACAAUAGACAUUGACAAAAUCACAAUCUGCCAACUGCAAAAGGCCACCCGACUGGGAUCUGCACGCAUCAUCCGAAAAUACAUCACACAGUCCUAGACACUUGGGAAGUGUUCGACUUGUGAUUUUGUGAUAUGAAAUCCAGCAUAUCUAUCUUUUUUGCUGUGUCAUAAUAAAAUAACAACAACAACAACAAUAAUAAUACAUCACACUGCUGCUGCUCAGUCGUUUAAUACAUCACACAGUCCUAAACAUUUGGGAAGUUUUCAACUUGUGAUUUUUGAUAUGAAAUCCAGCAUAUACAUCUUGUUUGCUGUGUCAUACUCUGUCUUUGUGUCAGUAAUAAUAGUAAUAUUAAUUUGGGAAGUGUUCAACUUGUGAUUCCUGUAUCACACUCUGUCUUUGUGUCCAAAUAUUAUUAUUAUUAAUAUUAAUAAUAAUAAUAAUUUUAUUAUUAUGACACAGCAAACAAAAGUGAAUAUCUUGGAUAAUAAGGAGGGAUUAAGAAAAAGCCUAUUAAGCAUCAAAUUAGGUUACUAUUUUACAAACUAAGCACCAAAACAUCAUGUUAUACAACAAAUUUG
rnacentral:lncRNA from 11 species